rnacentral:rRNA from 1 species
UGCGUAGGCGGGUCUUUAAGUCAGGGGUGAAAUCCUGGAGCUCAACUCCUGAACUGCCUUUGAUACUGAAGAUCUUGAGUUCGGGAGAGGUGAGUGGAACUGCGAGUGUAGAGGUGAAAUUCGUAGAUAUUCGCAAGAACACCAGUGGCGAAGGCGGCUCACUGGCCCGAUACUGACGCUGAGGCACGAAAGCUGGGGAGCAAACA